rnacentral:misc_RNA from 1 species
GAUGAAGAACGUAGCGAAAUGCGAUAAGUAGUGUGAAUUGCAGAAUUCAGUGAAUCAUCGAAUCUUUGAACGCACAUUGCGCCCCUUGGUAUUCCAUGGGGCAUGCCUGUUCGAGCGUCAUUUGUACCUUCAAGCUCUGCUCGGUGUUGGGUGUUUGUCUCGCCUCUGCGUGUAGACUCGCCUCAAAACAAUUGGCAGCCGGCGUAUUGAUUUCGGAGCGCAGUACAUCUCGCGCUUUGCACUCAUAACGACGACGUCCAAAAGUACAUUUUUACACUCUUGACCUCGGAUCAGGUAGGGAUACCCGCUGAACUUAAGCAUAUCAAUAAGCGGAGGA